AUUGAACGCUGGCGGCAGGCCUAACACAUGCAAGUCGAGCGGAUGAAGGGAGCUUGCUCCUGGAUUCAGCGGCGGACGGGUGAGUAAUGCCUAGGAAUCUGCCUGGUAGUGGGGUAUAACGUCCGGAAACGGGCGCUAAUACCGCAUACGUCCUGAGGGAGAAAGUGGGGGAUCUUCGGACCUCACGCUAUCAGAUGAGCCUAGGUCGGAUUAGCUAGUUGGUGGGGUAAAGGCCUACCAAGGCGACGAUCCGUAACUGGUCUGAGAGGAUGAUCAGUCACACUGGAACUGAGACACGGUCCAGACUCCUACGGGAGGCAGCAGUGGGGAAUAUUGGACAAUGGGCGAAAGCCUGAUCCAGCCAUGCCGCGUGUGUGAAGAAGGUCUUCGGAUUGUAAAGCACUUUAAGUUGGGAGAAAGGGCAGUAAGUUAAUACCUUGCUGUUUUGACGUUACCAACAGAAUAAGCACCGGCUAACUUCGUG
rnacentral:rRNA from 1 species